ACAACAGUUGGAAACGACUGCUAAUACCGCAUAAGCUCACGACCCGGCAUCGGGUAGAGGGAAAAGGAGCAAUCCGCUUUGAGAUGGCCUCGCGUCCGAUUAGCUAGUUGGUGAGGUAAUGGCCCACCAAGGCGACGAUCGGUAGCCGGACUGAGAGGUUGAACGGCCACAUUGGGACUGAGACACGGCCCAGACUCCUACGGGAGGCAGCAGUGGGGAAUAUUGCACAAUGGGGGAAACCCUGAUGCAGCGACGCCGCGUGGAGGAAGAAGGUCUUCGGAUUGUAAACUCCUGUUGUUGAGGAAGAUAAUGACGGUACUCAACAAGGAAGUGACGGCUAACUACGUGCCAGCAGCCGCGGUAAAACGUAGGUCACAAGCGUUGUCCGGAAUUACUGGGUGUAAAGGGAGCGCAGGCGGGAAGACAAGUUGGAAGUGAAAUCCAUGGGCUCAACCCAUGAACUGCUUUCAAAACUGUUUUUCUUGAGUAGUGCAGAGGUAGGCGGAAUUCCCGGUGUAGCGGUGGAAUGCGUAGAUAUCGGGAGGAACACCAGUGGCGAAGGCGGCCUACUGGGCACCAACUGACGCUGAGGCUCGAAAGUGUGGGUAGCAAACAGGAUUAGAUACCCUGGUAGUCCACACUGU
rnacentral:rRNA from 1 species